CAGAACAUCACCCAUUGGCCGAUUCUUUACAGUAAUCUUGUAAUUUUCCUGCUCUACUCAUGGCACCAAUGUUUGAAAGAAUAAGGAAGCAUCAUUGAAUUAGGGAAGGGUCCUGACUGAAGGAAUUCAGCCAGACUACUGUAAGCAUGUGAACUGAUGACAAACAGGAAAACAAUCUGGAAGGCACGAAAUGGAACCAUCAGAAUGAGAACACAGCUUGCAUAAUCAGCACAAGCCUCAUCUUGUCCACCCUUUUUUGUGACCACUCUGUGUGUGCACUCUGUGCACUGAAGCUUCGUCUCUUAAAGCGCUGUGUUUGCAAAGCUGGUCUCCAGAAUAAGAGUAUCAAGAUUUCAAUGACUCAAAAAG